UUAACUGGGGUCUGGAAUGAAUGGCAUUACGGAAUUAAGCUGUCUCUAAUUUCAUAAGUGAAACUUACUAAAUAGGUGAAAAGGCCUAUAGAUGCUAAUAGACGAGAAGACCCUUAGAGUUUAAGUUAAUAUUUUGUUGGGGCGACAUUGGAUCAGCUAAACAUCCAUGGACUUAUAAGACGAUUUAGAUCUUAUUAGACAAACUACCUAAGGGAUAACAGCAUAAUUCUUUAGAGUUUGUGACCUCGAUGUUGGACUGGGAAGCGCUAAAGCUAGCUGCU
rnacentral:rRNA from 1 species